rnacentral:rRNA from 1 species
GACGAACGCUGGCGGCGUGCUUAACACAUGCAAGUCGAACGGAAAGGCCCCUUUGGGGUACUCGAGUGGCGAACGGGUGAGUAACACGUGAGUAACCUGCCCUUGACUUCGGGAUAACUUCAGGAAACUGGGGCUAAUACCGGAUAGGAAUCCUUGCUGCAUGGUGGGGGUUGGAAAGCUUCGGCGGUUUUGGAUGGACUCGCGGCUUAUCAGCUUGUUGGUGGGGUAGUGGCUUACCAAGGCUUUGACGGGUAGCCGGCCUGAGAGGGCGACCGGCCACAUUGGGACUGAGAUACGGCCCAGACUCCUACGGGAGGCAGCAGUGGGGAAUAUUGCACAAUGGGCGGAAGCCUGAUGCAGCAACGCCGCGUGCGGGAUGACGGCCUUCGGGUUGUAAACCGCUUUCAGCAGGGGCGAAGCUUGUGGUGACGGUACCUGCAGAAGAAGCACCGGCUAACUACGUG